AGUGAACGCUGGCGGUAGGCCUACCACAUGCAAGUCGAGCGGCAGCACAGUAAGAGCUUGCUCUUACGGGUGGCGAGUGGCGGACGGGUGAGGAAUACAUCGGAAUCUACUUUUUCGUGGGGGAUAACGUAGGGAAACUUACGCUAAUACCGCAUACGACCUACGGGUGAAAGCAGGGGAUCUUCGGACCUUGCGCGAUUGAAUGAGCCGAUGUCGGAUUAGCUAGUUGGCGGGGUAAAGGCCCACCAAGGCGACGAUCCGUAGCUGGUCUGAGAGGAUGAUCAGCCACACUGGAACUGAGACACGGUCCAGACUCCUACGGGAGGCAGCAGUGGGGAAUAUUGGACAAUGGGCGCAAGCCUGAUCCAGCCAUACCGCGUGGGUGAAGAAGGCCUUCGGGUUGUAAAGCCCUUUUGUUGGGAAAGAAAAGCAGCAGGUUAAUACCCCGCUGUUCUGACGGUACCCAAAGAAUAAGCACCGGCUAACUUCGUG
rnacentral:rRNA from 1 species